rnacentral:rRNA from 1 species
GUCCACGCCGUAAACGAUGGAUACUAGCUGUUCGGCGCAAGUUGAGUGGCUAAGCGAAAGUGAUAAGUAUCCCACCUGGGGAGUACGCACGCAAGUGUGAAACUCAAAGGAAUUGACGGGGGCCCGCACAAGCGGUGGAGCAUGUGGUUUAAUUCGAUGAUACGCGAGGAACCUUACCAGGGCUUAAAUGUAGAUUGACAGGACUGGAAACAGUUUUUUCUCGGACAAUUUACAAGGUGCUGCAUGGUUGUCGU